UGGGGGAACGCAAGUACUACACAACUUCAAAAUAGAACAACAAAUUCAUUCUUAUAUCCUAAACUUUUUGGCAUACAGAUCCUCUUUGGCUUUUAGAACACUAGGUUUAGAGAAUUAACAAAUUUUUCGAUAUAGCAUUUCCAUGUCUUUGGGCAAAUCUCUAUGAUAUGAACAAGGCAAAGAAUCUGAAGUUUGAUAAUCUUUAGACUCUCUUCAUAAUUAACGUAUCCAAUACCUUCAAAGAUGAGAUUUUUUAGGCAAUUUUCCCAUGCUUAAGAUGAGCAACAUCCAGCCUUUUU
rnacentral:misc_RNA from 1 species